UAUCAAUCCUUUGUUCAAUGGAUUUGA
rnacentral:piRNA from 1 species